rnacentral:tRNA from 1 species
AGUCUUAUAGUCAAAUAUGAUUUUAAAUUGCAAAUUUAAAGGUGGAGAUACCCCUAAGGCUU